UGUUCCUACGGGGGGCAGCAGUGGGGAAUAUUGCGCAAUGGACGAAAGUCUGACGCAGCGACGCCGCGUGAGGGAUGAAGGUUUUCGGAUCGUAAACCUCUGUCAGGAGGGAAGAAAGCGCAUGGCGCCAAUCAGCCAUGCGUUGACGGUACCUCCAAAGGAAGCGCCGGCUAACUCCGUGCCAGCAGCCGCGGUAAUACGGAGGGCGCGAGCGUUAAUCGGAAUUACUGGGCGUAAAGCGCGCGUAGGCUGUUGUGUAAGUUGGGGGUGAAAUCUAAUGGCUAAACCGUGGAAUAGCACUUGAU
rnacentral:rRNA from 1 species